UACAGAGGGUGCAAGCGUUGUUCGGAAUUAUUGGGCGUAAAGCGCGUGUAGGCGGCUUUGCAAGUCGGGUGUGAAAGCCCUCAGCUUAACUGAGGAAGUGCGCCCGAAACUGCAGAGCUUGAGUGCCGGAGAGGGUGGCGGAAUUCCCCAAGUAGAGGUGAAAUUCGUAGAUAUGGGGAGGAACACCGGUGGCGAAGGCGGCCACCUGGACGGUAACUGACGCUGAGACGCGAAAGCGUGGGGAGCGAACAGG
rnacentral:rRNA from 1 species